AGGCACGUAGCUCAGGGGCUAGAGCGCCGCCUUGACACGGCGGAGGUCGGCGGUUCGACCCCGCCCGUGCCUACCA
rnacentral:tRNA from 1 species